GGGAUGUGUGGGUGUAGGACAGGAAGCAGGUAUUCGGAAAGAGCUCUUUACGGCCAGGGCUCUGCGCUAGGCCCGUAAAUGUGAAGGGAGGAAGGGUGGCCCUUUCGGGGCUGCCAGGUGCUUUCCCCACCUUGUCGCCCUCCGCACUAGGCGGAAGGUGACGUGGGGGAAGAGUAGGCAUGGCCCUGGCAGCCAGGCUGCGCUUGGGCGGGAGGCUCUGGCAGGUGGCCGCUGCCGUGAAAGUGACACCCUGGAGGAGAAUCCGCCUCUGCGGUCGCGGCCGCCGGCAGGGAUCCACCGAGCAAAGGUCGCCUUGGCUUCCAGAGGGCAGAGGAGCCCCGGUCUUGGCCGGCGGGGCCGGCGGGGGACCUCUCAUCCAGACAGAAGAUGGCAUUUGGGGUCAGGAACCAUUGGGCCCUUACCUUCCAUCGAUAUCCUGCAAGUUCUGUGAAUUCAUUGGGCUUUCUGCUCAGGCUGCCUGGAAGAAGAAGUGAAUCAGGACCCUGAGUAAUCCAACUGGGGACUGUUUGGCAAGCACAAGAGUAAAGUUCUCCUCUGCUGCAUCAGUCUGAUGGCAGGUGACUCUUAAAUCUUGAAGGCUGUGCCCAGAUACUUCCAAGCUGGUUAACUUUGAAUGGAGCCUGGUGGUCAUCCGUUGACUGAGGAACAUCCUAGUGAAACUUGAAGAGGCUCGGCACUAAGCUGAGACUGGAGGAUAUAUUGUUCAGCAGUAACAACUCAUGGAGACGGUCCUACUAAGGCAGAGAGGAGGUGAGUUCAUCAACAGAUUUCUUGAAAGAGAUGAGUUUGAAGAGUGGGAGAUGGCCAUGAUUUUGUAGGGA
rnacentral:lncRNA from 1 species